rnacentral:tRNA from 1 species
GCGAAGGUGGCGGAAUUGGUAGACGCGCUAGCUUCAGGUGUUAGUGUCUUAACGGACGUGAGGGUUCAAGUCCNUUAACGGACGUGAGGGUUCAAGUCCCUCUCUUCGCACCA